GGGGCUGAUUCUGGAUUCGACGGGAUUUGCGAAACCCAAGGUGCAUGCCGAGGGGCGGUUGGCCUCGUAAAAAGCCGCAAAAAAUAGUCGCAAACGACGAAAACUACGCUUUAGCAGCUUAAUAACCUGCUUAGAGCCCUCUCUCCCUAGCCUCCGCUCUUAGGACGGGGAUCAAGAGAGGUCAAACCCAAAAGAGAUCGCGUGGAGGCCCUGCCUGAGGUUGAAG
rnacentral:tmRNA from 1 species